rnacentral:rRNA from 1 species
GACGAACGCUGGCGGCGUGCCUAAUACAUGCAAGUAGAACGCUGAAGCUUGGUGCUUGCACCGAGCGGAUGAGUUGCGAACGGGUGAGUAACGCGUAGGUAACCUGCCUGGUAGCGGGGGAUAACUAUUGGAAACGAUAGCUAAUACCGCAUAAGAGUAGAUGUUGCAUGACAUUUGCUUAAAAGGUGCAAUUGCAUCACUACCAGAUGGACCUGCGUUGUAUUAGCUAGUUGGUGAGGUAACGGCUCACCAAGGCAACGUUACAUAGCCGACCUGAGAGGGUGAUCGGCCACACUGGGACUGAGACACGGCCCAGACUCCUACGGGAGGCAGCAGUAGGGAAUCUUCGGCAAUGGACGGAAGUCUGACCGAGCAACGCCGCGUGAGUGAAGAAGGUUUUCGGAUCGUAAAGCUCUGUUGUAAGAGAAGAACGAGUGUGAGAGUGGAAAGUUCACACUGUGACGGUAUCUUACCAGAAAGGGACGGCUAACUACGUG